rnacentral:rRNA from 1 species
UACGGAGGGGGGCUAGCGUUGUUCGGAAUUACUGGGGCGUAAAAGCGCACGUAGGCGGCUUUUGUAAGUUAGAGGUGAAAAGCCCCGGGGGCUCAACUCCGGAAUUGCCUUUUAAGACUGCAUCGCUAGAAUUGUGGAGAGGUGAGUGGAAAUUCCGAGUGUAGAGGUGAAAAUUCGUAGAUAUUCGGAAGAAACACCAGUGGCGAAGGCGACUCACUGGACACAUAUUGACGCUGAGGUGCGAAAAGCGUGGGGAGCAAACAGG